AAGAUCCCUGUCAAGUCCAUCAAGAGCCCUGAUGGUGAUAUUAUUGAUUGUAUCAACAUUUAUCAUCAACCAGCGUUUGAUCAUCCUUUGCUCAAAAAUCAUACCAUUUUGAUGAGGCCUAGUUU